AUUCUUCUGAACUGAGGUUGACUGCAGAUAACCAAAACCAUGGAUAAGGUGAGGCAAACUGUGGGAGCCCAGUCCUCCUAGAGAAGAAAAGGAGGAGGAAGACUUCAGAAGCAAGAUGACACAGGAGGAACAGAGGCAAGGAGAAAGUCCUUGCAGCCAGGACAUGUGACCUGAUUCUGAGAAAUGGCCCCAUAGAAGUUUGAUAAGGAGGUUUUGAAAUGCUUUCCUUCCCGAUGAAAAGAACUAUGUGAGAAGAAAACUACUUUUUUUUUUCCAUCUUGGACAUAGUUGUAUGAAGUGUGAUGCCUGGAGUUAUGACAGCCAUCUUGCAACCAUGAGAAGAUAAGGCUGUGGAUGAAAACCAAUAUACCAAGAAUGGUUGUGUUAAAAGAUGAAAAGAGCUUGGGUCUUGAAUGUCAUCACUGAACACUUCACCAGUUUUCAAACAGCCCUAUUUCUGAACUCUUGUGAUGUGAGAUUACUAAUGUCCUCAUUAUUUAAGCUACAUUAGUAGUUGGAUUUCUUGUCACAUGUAGCUGAAAAUAUCCUAGCUAAUACAUCAACAAAUAAAUGAGUAAAUAAUAAAAUUUUUAAUUAAAAAGAAAAAUUGAGCUCUAUACAUAUUGUAUGCAUGUAUCAAAAUCUCACUUGUACUCUAUAAAUAUGUUCAACUAUUAUGGAUCCAUUUUUUAAACAUACAAAUUUGAACUCUUUUUUUUUCUUUUUAUGUUUCUGCCAGCAGGAAGUCAAAAUCUGAACUCUUUUUGUGUUUAUAUGCAUCCGUUUUUUAAAUGACCUGAUGAAAUUAAAACUGUUGAGAAAAAUUAAAAAAAAAAAAGAAAUGAGUGGGCCGGGCGCAGUGGCUCACGCCUGUAAUCCCAGCACUUUGGGAGGCAGAGGCAGAUGGAUCAUGAGAUCAGGAGAUCGAGACCAACCUGACUAAUAUGGUGAAGCCCCGUCUCUACUAAAAAUACAAAAAAUUAGCCAGGCAUGGUGGCGGGUGCCUGUAGUACCAGCUACUUGGGAGGCUGAGACAGGAGAAUGGCGUGAACCUGGGAGGCAGAGCUUGCGGUGAGCUGAGAUCACGCCACUGCACUCCAGCCUGGAUGACACAGCAAGACCCCAUCUCAAAAAAAAAAAAAAAAAAAAGAAAGGAGUAAAUAGAAAAUGAAAGUAGAGGAUACAAACCUCUUGGAAAAGAGACCCAAGAGACGGCAUGUAACUAGAAAUGGCAGGAGAGACAAAAGAUAUAUUCUGAGGAGAAACAGAAAGAGUGAUAGCAAACAUGCCAAAACAUGUGAAGGUGAUAUUCCACAGGAGGUGGGUAAGGGUAGCUAGGAGCUGGGAGUAUUAGCUUUAGAAACACAGAAGUAAAAACUCCUCCUUUAAAAUCAAAAAGAGGCCGGGCGUGGUGGCUCACACUUGUAAUCCCAGCACUUUGGGAGGCCAAGGUGGGUGGAUCAUUUGAGGUCAGGAGUUUGAGACCAGCCUGGCCAACAUGGUGAAACCCCGUCUGUACUAAAAAUACAAAAAUUAGCCGGGCAUGGUGGUGCUUGCCUGUAACCCCAGAUACUCGGGAGGCUGAGGCACAAGAAUCACUUGAACCUGGGAGAUGGAGGUUGCAAUAAGCCAAGAUGGCGCCACUACACUCCAGUCCAGGUGACAGAGUGAGACCCUAUCUCAAUAAAUAAAUAAAUAAAAUCAAAAAGAAAGCCAGGAAGAGGAAAGAUGAUAGAACAGGUAUCAGAUAAUACCAGUUUCUUUUACUAAACUCAUCCAAGGAUUACAGUAAAUUAAGCAAUUAAAUAAUGAGUGAUGCUUAAUUUUGACUUCAGAAUGUCAAUAGCAUGACUUCUUCUCAAAGGACAGACGUAUCUGUAAGUGUAAGAAAAUUGGGAAACAUGGCUACAUUUGGAGCCAAGGAAGUUUUACUAUACAAUAUUUAGAAUAACUGACAUUAUUUCUCUUUUCUGUUGUUGAAAAUGCAGCCCCUUCCAUUAUAAAACCAUGUAUCUCAUGGAAUGUGAUUUUCCAUCUCUAUUUAUCUCUAUUUAUCCUUCCAGCCCAUUCAUUUCUAAGCUUAAACUAUCUAUUGCUCACCCUGAGCACUUGGAGAAUGUUACUUUUCCUCUUCAACUGAUGGAAUCCAGAACUGAAGGUAGCCAGAGAUUAGCAAUGAGGAAAUGGAAGCAGACAGUAAUGAAGUCUAUGGCAAGUUAGUGAAGGUGUAAAACAGAAUAAUAAAAAAUAUUUUAUUAAUCAAAAAAGGUAAGAAAAAAAGGAAACAUAAAACAAACAGGUCUACAUAUAGAAACCAAUGGUAGACAGUAGAAAUAAACUCAACUGUAUCAGUUUUAGUAUAAACUAACUAAAUAACCCAAGUAAAAAGCCAAGACUGUAAUACUGGAUAAAAAUAUAUGUUGCUUACAACAACCACAUUUUAAGUAUAAGAAAUAGAUUGAAUGUGAGAGGAUAGAAAAAGAGUCACCAUGUAAAUAUUCACCACAAGGGAGCUGAGGUAGCUAUCCUAAUAUCAGACAAAAGAGAUUGUAAUGCAAGAAGUGUUACCAAACAUAAAGAGGGGCACUUUAUGUGAUCAGGACUGAAUCCAACAGAAAGAUAUCACAGUCCUAAAUCCAAACACACUCAAUAACAUAGCUUCAAAAUACAAAAAGUAAGAAAUUGACAGAUCUAAAUUCCACUGAGAUUGGGAGGCCAAAGCAGGCGUAUCACUUGAGGUCAGGAGUUUCAGACCAGCCUGGCCAACAUGGUGAAACCCCAUCUCUACCAAAAUUACAAAAAAUGAACUGGGCUUGGUGGUGCAUGCCUGUAAUCCCAGCUUCUCAAGAGGCUGAAGCAGGAGAAUCACUUGAAUCUGGGAGGCGGAGGUUGCAGUGAGCCGAGAUCAUGCCACUGCACUCCAGCCGGGGCAACAGAGAGACACUCCAUCUCAAAAAUAAAUAAACAAAUUCCACUGAGGGAAGUCAUUGAUAGAAUUCAAGACAAGUCUGAAGAGUGAAACACUACUAAUUCUGAACUCAUUAUCACAAAGCUCCUAACUUGUAUGAGUCCUGACUGGCAUGAAGUUGUCUCAGGGACUCAAACGGGGGCAGCAGUUUGAUGGUUAGCUUCAUCUAGCCCACUAGAUCUCUUGCAAGGUGAGACCUCUAGAAAACAUCUCCAGCACUUCAUUUAAAGUAUUAUGGGUAUAUUAUAUCCUUAAGUAAGAAACGGUGCAGCCCAUCUGCAUUUUUCUAAAUGAAUUCCAAUCAGGGUCAGCAGGACACCAGGGCCCUGUCCCAGACUUGAGAUCCACCAGCUCCUGUUUUUGUCAAAAAAUAAACAUAAUCUGGCAGCUGCAUCUUGGAACCCGGCAGCUCAGGAGUCCUCAUCAGACACUUAGAACAGCAAAGGUCUCCAGGAUUAUGGUCCAAAGGGUCAUAAAUAUGUAGCGAAUUUUAAAAUGCUGGUUUCCUCCCCAGCAAGGAGUACAUCACUCAGUUCUGCUGUGUCACCAGUAAUAUCUACCCCAAAAGCUACUAUUUCAGGAGGACCAUUUAUCUCUCUCCAUCCUGUCUGCGUAGCAGGCCAUUGCCUGCCCCCACAACACUCACUGCCCCCUCUCAAAAUCUCAGGCCAUAAUCUCUGCAUUAGAAUCACUUUCUCCAGAAACAGAUCAUUCUGCUACAUUUGCCCAGCUUUAACCUUCAAUUUCAAGUUUGCUUCAGAACCCACAACCCAGCAGUACACAGUGAUUGUCUUUUCUUCUUCUACUGCAAGCUUUGUAGUCUAAUAUGUACCACAGGAAGAAAAUACACAGGACAAGUUUGGUUAGUCUGAAAUUUCCUUAUUAUCUCUAAGAGUGCUGUGGGUGGUUGAGGCACUCUGGAAUGUCAUGGGACUUUAGCUUACUGUAAUUUACCAGUUGUGAAAUAUAUCAGUUCCUUUUUCUUUUCUUAAAAUUUUCUUUUAUUAAAGAGUCAACAAAUUUAGCACUUGAUGGGUCCCCUUAAAUGUAAAUAGCCAGGUACCUUUAGAAGUCUAAAAGUAAAAUGAAACUAACCAAAUAGUUAGUGGCUUCUCUACCGGUGUUGGCCAAAUUGGGAGAGACAGAGGACCUAGAAAUUUAUAUCUUUCAAUUAUUGAAUAGGAAAAAUUAAAGAAAUAUAGCUAUCAUUUAAUCCAGCUUCUGUCUCUCAUAAAAAAUGGAUUCAGUGGCUUGUGCAAACCAAAUGUCCCAGACCUCAGAAGCUCCAGAGACCCAAAUCAGGCCCCACUUCCAGUCUGUAACACAGCCCCAGCCUGUAAUGCUCCAACUUAGUUGGUCAAAAGAACUUAGUAUUUUAUCAGAUUCUUCCCCCUCACGUCCAGCCCGCCAAAUAUCUCAAGGGAACCCAGGAGGUGACACGAUCCACACUCCCUCCUAACAGCCACAACUGCCCCUCCAGCCCCCAGGCCUGCCCUGCAGCCUUCCCACCCUUCCCCAGGCCGCUCUCCCCAGCCCUGGCCUCCUGCGUUCCUCUUGUGCAGCUUCUCUCGGGCACAGACACAAACCUCACCGGAGUUGUGUGGGAAGAUCCCAAAGCCCUUCCCAAUGCCACCCUGCAGGGUACUGGGAUGCAUGGGGGUAGUUGUGGCCUGUGGUCCCACUCAUGCCCCUGCUUCUUGUCCCUCAUGUCACUUCUUUCCCAGGUGAACAUGGUCCUUUUUUGCCUUCAGUCCCCAAAUCCACCUGUACAAAUUUGCCAGAUAUGGCAGGCUCUCCAUGAAGGUUUUGGGAUAACACAGAGGGAGCACAGCGUACCCACCAAACAGAACAACCUUGAGGUAGAAUAGGGUCUGAAGGCAGGGAACCUAAGGCUGUUUCACAUUGACUUCAUAGAACUAAAUUGAAAGGAAAACCCUAACUUUCCAUGCCUAAGUAACAAAAGGACCAGAGGCUACUCCCUUUGCAAACCCCCACCUUUUCUACAGGGCAGAUGGGAAACUGAAAGUAUCUCUGAUUGGUGCCAAGCAACCAAUCAGAUGUUUGCAUAGGAGUGUAACUUCAUAACUUCACUUCAGCCUCUGACUGGUUGCUGUCCACAGCCAAUCAGACUGAUUGCGGACCAAGUCUUCCUUUGCAUAAAAGUGCAACUUUGUAACUUCACCUUAGCCUCUCAUGCUAAAGUGAAUCUUAGGAGUUUGCAUAGGAGUGUGACCCUUGUAACCACUUCAGCCUCUGAGUGGAAAGCAACCAGAUUGAUUGCAGGCCACCACUUCAUUUACAUGGGUGAACACCAGGUGGCCAGUGGGAAACCUCUAGGAGGUAUUUGGACCCAAGAAGAUUGUGUAUCAGGACCCUUGUGUCCCUAUGCUCGGGCCCACCCCCACACUGUGGACAGUACUUUCAUUUUCAAUAAAUCUCUGCUUUUGUUGCCUCACUCUUCCCUUACUUUGUUUGUGUGUUUUGCCCAAUUCUUUGUUCAAGAUGCCAAGAACCUGGACAUGCUUCACCAACAGCAACCUGAAAUUGAAAACCGCUAAUCAUUGUUCUUAAAAGGUCCUUGGCCAUCCAAGCCCUGGGGGUUUUCUACUGGCAGCCCUGAUCUCAUACUCAUCCCACCACCAGUCCCUGGGUCCUCCCCAUCCUUCUGCUCUUAUCUCCACUGCUUCUCCUUUCCCAGGCUCUUCUUCCCUCUCCAGAGCUACCCUGACAUUUCAGUUUCAUCUUCUUUUAUUGUACUGUGUGUUUCAGCAAUCUGAGUGUUACUGUCUCCCACUCAUCCUCACCUUUUGAAGAAAGAACCAAAAACAAAAACAAAAAAAGUCAAUAUAGGCCUUUCAAGAUACUCCAAAAACUUAAGAAAAAAGUGUUAAGGCUAUAUUACAAGACCCCAGAAAAAUGAUGCUCAGAAGACAAAAGCAGUAAUUUUUAGUUUAAAUAGUACUUUUUCUCUGGCAGUAAGUACAUCAGGGAGAGUCAAGACUUCCUCUUGGAAAAGUAUGCCAUCUGGUUCUUGUCAUACUGUUGUGCUCCUUAACUCAUUUCAUGCAAAAUUUCCAGCACCAUGUUUGAGGGACCCUGAUUACUCCUCAUCCAUGCAGUUUCAGAGCCACAGGAGAGAUGCAUGUGGGUGGGCAGAAGUGGAAGUUGUUUAUGAGCAUGAAGUAUUUCUGAGAAAUGAACGCAUUGAUGUUGGGAUUUGAAAUCUGAUUUAUCUCUUUGAUGAUUACGGGAGGAAAUUUUAUUAUAAACAAUAAUAUUUGCUGGCAUAUGCAUGGAUGUCUGAACUCAGAUGAUAAAAACUAGAGGAUUUUGAGCAUCUUGGAAAAAAAUUGUACAAUUAAUUUAAGAUUUCUUACAUGACCUAGAAAAUGAAAAGGGGAAGCAAAUACACUGGAAAAAAAAGAAGGUGGAGGAGGAUCACAUUACUCCUUCACAGUUAAUUAGAAGAACUUUCAACCAAAACACAUAACUGGGUAACAAAUACCAGGUAAUUUUCUUUGACUGAAUUUUUUUUCACUUCAUUUUCUUUGAAGUGAAAAAAAGUAAUUUUUAAAUACAGGAAAUAAUAUUUUAUGACUGAGUAUUCUCUUCAAAGAAUCUGGGUCAGCAGCUCAUUUCAAAUUUUCAGUGCCUAGAGGACGAUAAUACUUAGUGCUGUUUGCUGGUGAUUUACAACACUUUCGUGGCUUAAGACCAAGAAUAUACAUAUUAAAAAUCAUGCUCUGCCUGAAUCCAACAAGCAGAUGCCCCACCUUCUUUUAAGGAAGAACAUGACAAUAAUGAACGGAUAAUAGAGUACAAACAAAGACACUCAAACUGCAUUUCCUAAUGUUGCAAAUGUUAAUAUUGAGUAACAAAGCAUCAUUUCUAUUAAAGCUGGCCUUCAGCCACUCCCUUAUGAGGUAGGUGGAAAGAAAUCUUUUUACUUUCCCAUAAUUCUACUACUUACGGGAAAGCAAGUUGACUUUGCCCAGCAUUGAUGCAAAGAGCAUGACACAGAGUUCAAGCCGCAGCACUGCUGCUCAGGAGAGUGGAAAAGAGAAAAGUUAUUGGCACAAUAGCAACCAAGUGUUUCAUCUAAAUGUUCUGUUUCUUGAGCUCCCAGGUAACUCAGCUUCACAUCUUUUCCUUGUACAGGUCAACUCCACUUAGGUAGAAUGUGAAUAUAUAGUAUGAGAGGCCAAAAACCCAUACCUAUAUAAGCAAAAUUAUCUCCCCCUACUGCCAAUUCAUAAAAAUAACACCUGCCAGAAUGGAACAGAAUGCUGAAAAGUCUACCUUGAAAAGAUGAGCGAUUUUCAAGCCAAGAAAACUUGAAUGUAUGAAACCCCCUAGAAAGAAUGUGUCAUCCAGGGGGUAAUUGGCCCAUCGCAGAAACAUGGAAAAGAGGAAAAGGAAGACAGCAGGGCACAGUGUUCAUAAGAAAGAGACACAGGAUGCUUUUUAAGAAACUUGGGUGUGAAAGCAAAACAGGCAAUAUUUAGAAAGGAACUUUUGGUCAAUGGGUGGAAAUGGGUUAAAAUAGGAGCCAUUUGCACAUAAUUAUAUUCUAAGGGGAAGGAAGCAAUAGAGAGAGCAAUUGAAAAUGUAAGGAAGAGAGGGAAGAACUGAUGUGGGUGAGGGUGCAUGUUUAGAACACAGGCUGGGAAGAGUCGGCCGCGGGAGUCACACUGCUAAUAAAAGGCAGAGACCAGGGGUUUUUGGACCUGGGUGCAAAUUGUGGUCUUGCCACUUUCUAUCUGAGGGACCUUGUCACCCUGAUGGUGAAAAACAAGCCUGUAACAGAAGAAAGGAAAGACAAGAACUGGGAGGCUGUGAUAAGGGAGCUGCAUAUAUCAGCAGUGCAGCAAGUCUGGCUGUUGACAUGGUUCUUGGUGAGCCCAAGAGAGCUGACUGCUGGAAAAGAGUAGAGGAGAACAUUUUCAGCCUCAGAAAUAUCACUGGCCUCUGAUGGGAGAGAUAAGUGGUCUCAGGGCCUAAUGAGUGCUGGAGAAUUCAUUCAUUCAUUCAGUGAACAUGACUGAGGCCUCUCACUUUGCUAGACAUUUUGGAAGACAGGGGUCAAAAUCACAGUUCCUACUCUCAAUUAGCUCACAGCCCUGUACUAGUGAUGGACAAAGAACCAGUAUGUGACAGUUCAGACUAAUAAGCCCAACAAGAGAGGGAUAUACAGGACACUGUGGGACCCCUAAAGGGAGCACCUUGUGCAGAGGUAGAAGGAUAGGAAUGAACGAGGGGUGACGGGUAACAGGAAGAGAGAGAAGCACCGCAGGAGUCUCUGAAGAGUGUUCACAGGGGGUGCGAGGCUUGCUGUGCAGAAACCAAUAGGGGCAGGUGAGAAAUGCUGACCCCAAGGGAUGAGCAGGCUCAUGUCAGGGUGCUACAACCGUCCCCUCCUCUUCACUCUUUCCUGCACCCCAGACUCCAAGUCUUAAACUAGGUUAUCUCCCCAGUGGCCUGGCCUGCCCCCCGAAUGCUCUCAAACCAGUAUCUUCUAACCCUAGUCAAAAAUUACCCCUUCCCUUCAGCUAGCCAUUAGAAUUGAAACAAAUUCCCACUGCCAUGUGAAAGUCUGAUUAUCCUACUGUUCCCAAGGCACCAGCCUUUUAGUGGGAUGUUUGCUGUAGUAGAUUGUAUCUUCCAAAAAUGGCCACAAAAUGUUUCUGAGUCCACAUGCUCAUCCAGAAACUUUCUACUCCCUCAUUAAGAGAUAGAAUCUAUUUCCCUUCCCCUUGAAAUUGGGCUGCCUUUGUGACUUCUUCAAUAAAAAGAGCUGCUUGGAACCCCCACCCACAGCCCUUACCUCCCCUGCAUCCAUGAGCACACCCCUCUGGGACUAUACUGUCUACCAUUGCCUCCCUGACUUGGGACUUUGGCUCUGGA
rnacentral:lncRNA from 1 species